AGGGGGUCAAAGUACAAAUAGAGAAAGUUUAACCACGUAGGACUGCCCAGUCAGCAGUCUCGACAAAUUAGAGUGCACCGCGUGGCCAGACGCGCUGAUGUUAGCGCCAUGCGGGAGGCCACGCUGGCGAUCAGUGUGUCUCGCGAUCGGACAGCCCAGGAUCGAUCCUGCGCGUGUGGACGGUCUGAAUCCGCUUCCCCCGUAGGCGCGAUCGGAUGGUCGAUAUCAAACGCGAUGAACGGUCCAGAUUCGUUUCUCCCUUAGGUGUGAUCAAAUGGUCAAGAUCAAACACGAAAAAGCGUCCCGACUCGUUUCCUCCUUAGGCGCAAUCGGACGGACGAGAUUGAUCGCGAUAGACGGUCUAGAUUAAUGCAGGAUGGGUAUAAAUAUUUCGCAUCACACUGAACCCAAACCCUAGCCACCAGCCCCCCCACCGAAGAAGAAGAACCAGACGCCAGAGAAUGAAGCCAACCGCCGCUGCACCGGAGCCACCUC
rnacentral:lncRNA from 1 species